GACGAACGCUGGCGGCGUGCCUAAUACAUGCAAGUAGAACGCUGAAGGAGGAGCUUGCUUCUCUGGAUGAGUUGCGAACGGGUGAGUAACGCGUAGGUAACCUGCCUGGUAGCGGGGGAUAACUAUUGGAAACGAUAGCUAAUACCGCAUAAGAGUAGAUGUUGCAUGACAUUUGCUUAAAAGGUGCAAUUGCAUCACUACCAGAUGGACCUGCGUUGUAUUAGCUAGUUGGUGGGGUAACGGCCUACCAAGGCGACGAUACAUAGCCGACCUGAGAGGGUGAUCGGCCACACUGGGACUGAGACACGGCCCAGACUCCUACGGGAGGCAGCAGUAGGGAAUCUUCGGCAAUGGACGGAAGUCUGACCGAGCAACGCCGCGUGAGUGAAGAAGGUUUUCGGAUCGUAAAGCUCUGUUGUAAGAGAAGAACGAGUGUGAGAGUGGAAAGUUCACACUGUGACGGUAUCUUACCAGAAAGGGACGGCUAACUACGUG
rnacentral:rRNA from 1 species